CACAAACACACGUCUCUUCUGAUAUAAAACUGAUGGACAGAACAAAGAGGGUCUGACUGCAUGUGUCGAAGGUGAGUCAGAAAACAAGGGCAUCAGUCUCGAAUUUAAAUGCUGCUUCACUACUAUCAGCCU
rnacentral:lncRNA from 1 species